rnacentral:misc_RNA from 1 species
GAGAGAGAGAGAAAGAAAGAGAGAUAGAGAGAUCUAAUUGCUCCUCAAUCUCACAUUUCCAAGAUCAUAUACCAAAUUAAACAUGAAUAAUAAGCAAAACAAACAUUAAGCACAACCAAAGAAACACAUGGAUAAUUGAACUAAAAGAUGGCAGUUCAAGAAAAGGAAUCUAGCAACAAGAAAGAAAGAGAUGCACAUUUAAUUAAGAAAAGGAAUCUAGCAACAAGAAAGAAAGAGAUGCACAUUUAAUU